rnacentral:tRNA from 1 species
ACCGCGAUAGCCCAGCUGGUAGAGCUUCUGCCCGGUAUGCGGAGGUUAGCCGCUUCGUUUCCGGCUCGCGGCG